rnacentral:lncRNA from 1 species
UUGCUAAAACAUGUAUAUGAGUUUUCAGUAAUAAAAGUUCGUUGUUGUAAUGAGAAACAAAGUUCAUUGCUAUAAUUAAUAAACAAGUUCAUUGCUAUAAUGAGAAACCAGUUGAUUGCUAUUAUUGAUAACAAGUUUAUUGCUAUAACGAGAAACGAGUUUGUAUGUGUAUGAGCAAACAAUGAGUCUCAACCAAACCUAUGACUGAAGCCCUAUCAAGAUCUAUGCUUAUCGUUCCAUAGAUGAAUAUGGUAUCAUGCACUCCAGCAAUAGGGCGAGUGAGGAGUUGUCAAUUCCUAAUAGCGCUAUCCAUAAUGAGCAUUGGCUCAAAGAGUUAAUGGUUAGAGAUAAGGGAAGGGCCUUAAUACGAUAAGUUCUCAUGUUACCUAUUGCAUAGACAUACAUAGAGAGACAUAGCAAUACAAUAGCAAUCGUGUUUGAUACAAAUCAAUUUAAAUACAACAUGCAAAUAAUACUUUUCUUAGACAUGCUUUUCCACCCCAAAACAUAAAAAUUGAAAAUAGGGGAGUGCGUGAAUACUCACAAUAUGCAAAAUAUAGUAACCAAAUUUAUACGAGUCAAAUAAAUACAACGAACAUAAGUAGUUUAGGACAUGCUUUUCCACCCCAAAACAUAAAAACCGAAAAAGGGGAGUGGCGAAUACUCACAAUGCAUUGAGACGAUGCAAAUGGUGCAUUGAUCUAUGCUCCACUGGUACCACUAUCGUUUUCCUACAACGAUGUUACACACUAAUGAGUCUCUAAUCGAAAUUUAAUACUAGUAUAGUUACUACUACAAUAGAAUUAUGCCAAUAAUGUAUUAAAAUUUAAUAUUGAUAAGUUACAAACAUUUUUCUGUGGAAAUUAACUUUCAAUGAAUCAAUUGUUAUAUAACAAUUUGAGUGGAAAAUUUUCCAUUAUUGAAAUGUUAAUAUUUAACAUUUUAGAGGUGUUCCAAUGAUUAAAUAUUCAAAAACUAAAUCAAUUUAGUUCUAAAAUUUCCCAAAGUUUGCAUUUCAGUUUUAAUUGAAGUCAAAGACCUUAAGAUAAAUUUUCUUGAAUUUUUGAUUUGUCUAACUAUUUUUCACCAUUUAAUUCCAUGAAUAAUCAUAAAAUCAUGGAAAAAUAGUAAAUUAUCAUCAAAAACUCUUCUAAUUUUUGUGUAACUAUUCUACAGUGUACAUAAUCUAGGAAAAAUAAUAAUAUGUGAUUUCAAAAAGUUUAAUACAAUUUUUCUAAUUUUUGAGUAUUUAUUCUAUAAAAAUAGAAAUAAAUAUGUAACAGUUUCAAAAAUUCACCAAACGUUUUUUACAAGUGUUAUUACACAUACUUAAUCUUUUAAAAAUAUAAAAAUGGGUUUCUAAACUGUUUAAACCAAUUUUAUGAUUUUUGUGCAUUUAUUCUAAUAAAAAUGGAGAUAAAUAGAAAACAGUUUCCAAAAUUGUCCAAAAUUUUUAUAACACUGUUAUUACAUAUAUAGAAGCUGUGAAAAAUAUAAAAGAUAUUUUAUUCAAUUAGUGUUGCUAUUUUUCCUUGUUUAAUCCUCUUAAAUAAUCAUUAAUUGAAUAAUAAUUAUUAAACAGUUAAAGUAAAUUACCAAAAAAUUUGUACACUUCAUUUACAGAGUAAAUAAUCUGGGAAAAAUACAAAAUGUGGUUUUUAUAUACUGAAAUCCGAUUUUGUGUAUUUAAAUGUAUUUAAUCUUAGAAUGUACAUUUAAAUGUCCAUUCAUCCGAAUCACCCACGACAAGUGAGUUCAUACCCUUGAAUUAACCUUUUAAUAGGAUUCGCGUGUGUGUUCAAGUCCUCACUUGACACUUAGCAUCGUAUACCGUCCAUUCAUCCGAAUUGCCCACGACAAGUGAGUUCAUACCCCUGAAUUAACCUUUUAAAUGAUUUUAACUGCUUUUAUAGGGAGGGAAUACAAGUUGAACUGUAAAGUUAUGAAUCACAUGUGAUUAAUAACUGUAUAGCAAAAUAAAUUUUGCAUGUUAAACUGUUUAUCCAGAUCAAAGGUUUCCAAAUCAUGUUUUUGAAUCUUGUUAAAGUAUGAAUAUCCUUUUUUUAGAUUAUUAAAGGUUAUCCAAAGUUUUUUUCAAAGUUUGUUUACUUAAGAGACAUCCAUUCAUAAUUUCUUAUCAAAAGUUUUCUUCACUUAAACCGUUUUAUACAAAUCAUUUUCAAAGCUGUUUAUGAAUGGUUUUUCAAAGGAUUCCAAAGAUUUUCAAAACUUGUUUUACAAAAUGACAUCAAGUCGUAAAUUUCUUAUGUAUGAAAGUUUUCCAAAGGUUUCAUCAAAGUUUUCCUUCUAUGCUUUUACUUCGUUAAAUGCAUGUCUAUGUUUGUAUAGUUAUAUAAAUAAUGUUUAAAGGACUUAGGAAGGCUAGUUCGCCCUAUUUCCUUUUCCUCGUUGGGAUGUGGUCUGGUGGGUAUCGGUUAUCCUUCCGAAGUUCAUUUAAACAUUAGUUAUAUAUCAUGUAUACAUGUAUAGACAUAAAGGUUUACAUCGACCAGUUCAUUUCCCUUGGGUAGCAAGGACAUCCUUCCAUUCAUCAUUCAUAGACUAGAAACACUAGUAACUAUUAUAGGAAUAGUUAGGAGAUUAUAUUUACUCUUUCUAGUACCGAGAAUUCCAAAGGAGUCAGUUCAUUCGUGAGUCUAUAUCAUUAUUCUAGUACUUAUAAUAGAAUUCAAAAUACGAGAUGCAUCUUCACGACACGGAUUCCACUGUUGUCAAGUUGGUAACCAGAGUCUCCUAGAGGGAGAGCGGGCAUUGUGUGUAUAGAUCUAUACGAGACUGAUACUCCCACAUCCUGACCGCUAGCUACAGUCCCCGGCCGACCAAGCCAAGGGGUGACAAAUGUCACAUUUAUUCCGACGCUUGCAGGGCGUCAAGUACUCUAUUGUCAAUCAGUAUGGUUACGAGUAUCUCUAUGUUUACCUUAUAAUUCAUGGCCUUAAGGUAACACGAUAAUUUUGAAACAAACCACUUAGGAUUACUGGAUGUUUUAGACUUUGCUAGCUGUGUCGUUCAUUUGAUACUGUCUGGAGUCUGUAUUUCCUUGUUUUAGACUUUGCUAGCUGUGUCAUUCAUUCGAUACUGUCUGGAGUCUGUGCUUCCUUUUGUUAGACUGAGUUAGGUGUAUCAUUCAUUCGAUACUCUCCUGGAGUCUAUGAAUUCUUAUGCCUUAGUCAGCAGUAUUACUACUGCGGCAUAUGUUAUUUUCCCCCUAGUAUUUUUACUAGUGAUAUUCUCAUAUUUUACUUAAAGUCAACACUGUAUUUUGAUAAUGAUAGUAUUUCGGGGAAAAUUACUCCUUAAAACAUAAGUCUGUCAGGUCUCGGUAGAAGACUGCUUUUAUUUAGAAAAUAUAGGAUUUUAUGGAAAGGACGCUAAUACACCGUAGAUUCUAAACUACUAUCUUUCAUAAUGUUAUUUUGAAUAAAAAUGCCUACUUAUACCAAUGACACUAAAUACUUAUGGACUCACCAGCAUUAUAAAAAUGCUGAUACUCACUUUCAAAAUCACUUGUAUUCUCAGGUCAGCGAUAGACAGGUACAUCCCUGGAGCUUAUGUAGAUUCAGCCUAGUACUGAGCUGCAUCUAUGUUAUGUUCUGUAAUUACUUUGAUAUUACUAUAAGAUGCAACCGAUGUAAAAUUAUUACUAUUAAUGCAAUGGUUGUUGUACUUUGAUUACUAUACUGCAUAUGUUGUGACACUUGACAUGACGUCAUCCACCCCAGAACGUUUCCGCCGUUCCAGUUUUGGGGUGUGAUAGAUUGGUAUCAGAGCAUUGUUUAUAGUGAGCUCAGUAUAUCAAUUCAUAAAAGAUAUACAGCCUAUAAAUACAUAGGGAUAAAACACUCUGACCAAGAAUUAUACUUUAAAAUAUAACCAUAUUUUACCAAAGUAUAAGAACAUCCUGAAUCUAAACACUCGAACAAAAGUAUCACAAGAAGAACAAAAUAAAAGUAUUUGGAUGUUGACCACUACCGUCAAACCUGAGCAGUUAUGUAAUUGUAAGCUGGAAUAAAUGUAACCUGAUCAACUACAUUUAUUCGAGAUGCGACAACGUGUGCUUGGGAGUGAUGGUGGUGUUGCAAUGAAUCUGAAACUUACCAAAUAGGAAUGCUAGAGCCAAACAUAAAGUUUAAAAUACUAUGGGAGUAUUUUGGAAUACUAAAAGACUCACAUUAAUCCCAGAAUCAUAUUCAGAAGUUAAGAAUCAAACAAGAAAUUAAAAUACCAUAGGGGUAUUUUAGGAUCCAUAGAUAACCUUUUGUGAAGAACUAAAAAGAUCGUUAUUGAUACACCUAUGAUUACAAAGGGUAUACUUCCAAUGUUAUAUAUAAUAAGGAUCCCAUAGACCAAGAAUGUGUGGUUUCGCUCUACUUCCUUUUCCUCGUUGGGAUGUGGAUUUAGAGUAGUAUCACAUAUUUGAAGGCCUAUCGGAUCUAAGCUAUAUAUAAUUUGUGUACCCUAUGUAAUUGUAGUAGGACUCGAUAUGGAUCACCCAGUGAAAUGUUAAUAAUCUCUUAGGAUUCUCUAGACAUUUCCAUUCUCGCACAAACCCUGUAGAAAAGCCUAUCCACUUCAGUGUUCAACCGAAGAGUGGAUUUAGACCCAGAAGAAGUUCAUUGAGAAGAUUUCUAGUUCUGAAAUAAAUGAACCAGGACGAGACUAUUGAAACCACCAAGUGCCUAUACCUUUUAGGGACACCGGUGGGAAAUUUGCCUGAACUUCCGAGAAUUCCAGUCAUCCAUCAUGAAGCGAUGACACCUAGAGUCAGGAUCGGAAGUAAGACGGAGUAGAAAUUCAAUAUGUCCUUACAAGAAGAGAACCCUAGGUAACUACCCGAAGAAAACCAACGUCGGUCCCAGUCAAGGAUAAGAAGUAGACAGAGGGAGCCAAACAUUGAACCNUAGACAGAGGGAGCCAAUACAUUGAACCCGAGAAGUGUCUUUUCCUCGUAUUCGUCGCGCUAAUACACCCAUAAAAUAAUACAAUUUAGUGAGUUAGUGAUUACACUACUCACACUAUGUGUUAGGUAAAUCGCCUUUUCCCGUCGCAAGUAAUACGAUUAGAUCGGAUCUCAAAGCCUCGAUUGAGAAUGUAUAUCCAUAAGCCUUCAUGAGCCUUUUCUUUUGUGAUUUUCAUUCCGAACUCCCCUCAAAUCUUUCCAAGCCAGAGAGUGAAACUUUCCAGCAUAAAGAUAAAUUAGUAGGAACAACCUCAUCUUAUGGCUUUCCGAUACUCUUACUCCUACCUUGAUACCCGGACUGCAUCAUAGGGAUGUAGGUCGACACUCAUAUAACCAAUAUUCGAGGCGCGAUAAAAUCUCUGCCUAAUACAGUCAGAAUAGAUACGGCCAGGGUUAACCAUCAUCUCUCAUUAGCUUGUGUUCCUUUUCCAUGUAGGAAAAACCAUGCCUCCAAGGAAACGUAACCAAUCCGUUGGCAAGAAACCGAAUCUCUUAUUCGAUGAAGCUACGUUUCAAGAUGCAGUCUCAGCAGCUGUCAUGGCUCACAUGAAUGCUAACAACGCCAAGGUUAGCAGGAGCCCUAACGAGAUUUUCGAACCUAGCAAUGGACAGCAGCAACCAACACCUGCGUACCCAGCCACCCAAGAACCCCAACCAAACCUACUGAAAAGAAAGUUCAAGAGAGAAGAGGGAAGUACCUCGACUCAAGGACCUUCCGAAGAGCAAUGAGCUGAGGCAGUCAAUACCCCUGUCAACCCUUCCAUCCCGACUUUAAGAAGACCACACCUAGGAAACCUCCCCCAUUGCAGCAAGUGUAGCUACCAUCAUCAUGGUAUCUGUCAAGAACUCCUUUAUGUUAGGUGCAACAUGAAGGGACAUAUUGCUCGCUUCUGCAGAACCCUGGGUGAGUUCAUUACAUCUACCACCAAUGUGGCGACCAAUCCAAUAUGCCAUCUAUGUGGUGAGACUGGGCACCUCAAGAGGGACUACCCAACUGAAAGGAACGACAAUGGCGCAGGAGGAGUCUAACUCUAAUGCCUUGGAAGAAGCAUCAAGUAUCCCGGUAGAAUUUUUGUACGUCUCUCAAUCCUAGAUAACUAACCGAAAACAUUAAAAGGCUAAUUCUGAAUGUAAUUACUCUCCCGAUAAGGCGAAAGUCGCAGCACUGUUGUAAGAAUUCAAAAUUUCAUCAGGUAAAGCUAUAAUGGCUCGGUAUAUACGCUAAAGCCAUGUAUAAUUAAGAUGGAUAGACCUCGAGUGAGUGAUGCUGCCUCAUUUCCUGUUCCUCAUUUGGUUGUGGAUUUAGGGUGGAGUCGCUCAGUCAACAGUCCUUUCCACCUUAAUUAUACGUGACUAGUGUAUACUAGGCGAUUAUAGAGAGGUCUCGUGAGAAUCCAUUCAUGAGAAGUACAUUAUUCCAAAACCUCAAGACCCUCUAUAGUUUCGCGUCAACUCUAUCGGUCCAAGUAUCCGCGACAGUGAUACACGAGACGAAACCUGAGACGCCAAGAACUUAUGUGCCUGUUCAGCACAUGGCCCUAUCGACCCUCAUUCUAUGUCAUGUUGAUGUAUACCAGCUUCGACGCCUCUAUCAAUCAUGGUUCGACUUAGCGCAACCAUGUGUAAAGUCUUAGUGCUGUGUACAAAGAACUUUCACCGUAGCCAUUUCGGCAAAUAAAGGUUCUUCCGAACCUAAUAAUAAAACCUAAUGCGAUCCACCAGUCGUCUCUCUUAUCUAAAACCUUCCGAAAUACCCCUGAGUAGGGUAUCGCGCGCUGGUAACCAACCCUUUCUUAGAUAGAUAGAACCCGAAGCGAAAGACACUACAGGCAUUCCAGGAGACGAUGAACACCUGAAACCUACUCCGUAGAUCCCCCAGAAAGACCCUUAGCACUUCACAAUCAGGUUCAUGAAUCAAGAGGAAAGAACUCAUGGUAUUAACUACUAUUAACUGAGUAUAUGCAUAAGAGUGGUAUAUAAUUUAGAUCAAAAAGAUUUAAGAUGUGUGCUUCCUCCCUACUCCCUGUUCCUCGUUGGGUUGUGGGUCUGGGGUGGAGUCUCACAAUUGAACAUCCCGUCGAUCUCAAUUAUAUACGGCUUGCAUACACCAAGUAUUAGUGGUUAAGCCAAGUUUGAGCUCUACCACGAACCUCAUAGUAAAACCCUUCAUCCUAUCCCAUAGAAUAGGAACUAGAGUCAAGAGAACCACUGCGGGUUGAGCUACUAAAAUGACCGCAAAUCUGAAAUUUGUUAUCAUCCCGGUUAAGCCAAUAUAGUAGCUAACACCCUCGGUUGGUAAAGAAAUCUGAGUCGUAAGAGUCAAUGACAUUGAUUGCGACCAUCCAUUCACGCUUAAUCCCACAAAUUAAGCAUCUCAGCAGAUAUCCCGGAAACCUGGAAGUUGCGAUAAGUUAAACUCUGAGAAGAAUGGAUGAGGAAAUUUGAAGCUCCGAGUGACGGAACCCUAUACUUCCUAGACUUAAUCUAUAUCAAGGAAACUCGGAACCACCGGAAGAGUAGUUGCAGAAGAUGCUCGCACUACUUAGGCACUUCGUCCACCCUGUUACCGACGACUAGUGCCUAGGACACUCCGCCUCCUCACGUGGAAGAAGUCACCAUCGCCCUGUAGACGAUAGAUUGCAUUCUCCAAAGUGAAUACCAGAAUGCCAAGAACCACAGGAUAACCUCCGCAGCCAAGAAAACUUGUAUAAAGUACGAAAGUAGGUGGCGUUAAUCCUUAUAACCCUAAUCCCGAAGAGAUUAUAGACUUGACACCAGUCUAGGUGUUAGUCGAUGGGUUAUACAAGAGCUUGCGCUUUCUAUAAUUGAAAUAAACCGACGCCUUAGAGAAUAGGGCAUGUCUUAGAGAUUCAUUGGACUACUAGGUGUUCCAAGAAUACCAUCUCACACAGAAAUAGUAAAGCCACCUCCCGAGAUAGUCCAACACUUCAGAAAAUCUCUAAGGACUGAGUUAGCCCUGAGCAGAGAUUGCUAUUCAUGAAACAGCAAAGCAAGUAAGAGCAUGAUUCUUUCCCGUUAGGAAUCAUAUUGUGAAAGCGUCAACUAGACGAUGAUGAGGAGUUUGAAAACCCUCUAACCACCGUCUGGUAAAACCCUAUCUCAUCGACUUUGAGAAUUUCCGAUAGUAACACCUCGAGAGUCAGAAGUGCAGGCCCAUUUUUGCACUGAAUCGAGAUAGAUGUCCCAUAACCGAUAGAUGUCAGCGUGUAGUCAAUACAUCCGAUAAUCUAGAAAAACCUCCGAGGGCCAAUCAGCAGGAGGCACGAAUCCGAAAACAACAUGAGCCUUCUAAGAACCAACCCGGGAACCCCACUCCGGUAAGAGAGAACUUUUGGAACUUCGACAUGGCGAUCACACCAGUGAUGAUCUCGUCAUAGAAGUACAUUACAUUCUAAGUACUGAAAAAGCUCUAUCUUUCCGAGAGCUUAGGACCAUCCGAGAUUCUUUAUAAGAAUUGGUCCAACCCUUGUCAGACCACGACUACUUUCAGAAUUCCAUAAGUUUCACCCCAAAUCGAUCCAUGUCUUAGACGUCAAAAAGUAUUUGCCCGCCGUAACUCUUGAAAUUCCACUUGUCUUGAUAGAGAUCAUUGGGAACCCUAACUUCGUAGAGGAACCUGUAGGAAUCACGAACCGAACGAACCAAACCCACAUUCCAUUAGUGAAGGGUCGCUAGAUCGCCAAGCGAAGACCUGAGUUCACUUGGGAGCGCGAGGACCAACCGAAUAGGAAGUACCCUCAUCUCUUACUUGAUUGUUCAUACUUGUAACAACCCGAAAUAUCAUGUAAAUUCCCGUACCACAACUUGUAACUCGAGUCGAUCAACCAAACGUCAUUCUCAAUUUAGUUCCCAAUAUUCGCCAUUUUAUUAGGUCAUUAAUUUAUAUUGACUUAAAAUGACUUAAUAGGUGUCUUAAUAUAUUAGAAAUCAUUUUAAACACCCAACUUUAGUGAUCGGAAUAUUUCUAGAAACUACCAUAUCGGGUUACGGUAAAUCAAUCGGGUACGACCAAAAACCUCAAUUAACGUCGGUAUCGGGUAGAAUUCUAUCGUGUCCAAUUCCCGAACAUUAUAUAAACAUGUUUAAGACUCCAUUUGAAGCCUUUGGCCAAAUUAUCACUAAACAUUUCCCACCUCUCUCCUAAUCCAAGUUUAAGGGAUCAAAACUCAAAUUAAGGCUUCUAAUCUCUAAGGUACCUUCCUAGCCCUAACCUAUAACAUAUUUGACAUCCAAUUUCGAGUUUAAGACAUGAAUUAGGCCUAACAUUCAUGAGUUUACGGCCAUAGAACAUUCAUGGGCCGUAAACUCAUAUUUCAAGGGUUUUUAAGCCCUAAAACCCUUCCUUUGCAUAGUUGGACACUAGAUAUGACUUAAGGGCUUAAAGGGAAGAAAUUAUAACAUGUAGAACAUGGAUUUAGAGGGACAAAAGUGAGUUUACGGCCAAGGAACAUUCUUGGGCCGUAAACUCAUAUACAAGGGAUAUUUAAGCCAAUUAACCCUUCCAAAACCUAGUUGAGACUUAGACAUGAACCUUGGACUUGCUAAUCUAGACUUGGAACACUUUAAACUUGAUUUUUGUGUAACAAAGAAGAGUUUACGGCCAAGACACUCUCUUGGGCCGUAAACUCCUCUAAAAGAGUGAUUUAAGGCCUUUAAACAUGUUCAAAUGCUUCCAAACUCAAUAUAUGGCUUUGUGGUAAAAUCUAGAUGCAUCUAAAAAUGGUUUAAAGGAUUAAAACACAACAAAAGUAUGAUUUAUGGGAGUUUACGGCCUAAGAACAUAUUCUUGGCCGUAAACUCAUAAAACAAUGUUUAUGAGGCAUUAAACACACUCAAAUGUCUUGUGUAAAUUUCUAGAAUCACAUGUGAUUGUUUUAAGCACCAAAAACUACUUUGUUCAAUUGUAAAGGAGAGUUUACGGCCUUAGAACAUACCUCUAGGCCGUAAACUCCAAUAAAUGUCUUAAUUGAUGUUCUAAAUUCAUAACAAUGCUUAGAAAAUUAGUUUGAAUCACAUGUGAUUGCCCUAAAUAGCUCAAAUCAAUUUUUCUUAGCCUUGGUGAGUUUACGGCCGUAAACUCUAUGAGUGUGGCCGUAAACUCAUGCUUUAAAUGUUUUAAAUCCAUUCCAAGUGUUCCAAGGUGUCUAGAUAAUCAUUCCUAGCAAUCCCUAAGUCCAUUUGAGUCCUUAAAACACCAAAACCUCACCCACAUGAGUUUACGGCCGUAAACUCAUGUAUGUGGGUGUUCCAUUGUUGUGAACUCUUUAAAAUGUUUACUUAUGGGGAGAAAACUCAUGUCCCAAGUCCCUAGUGCCAUUGCAAGUCUUUAAACGCCACCCGGGUCACUCCAAACGCUCAUUUUAAGGUGUUUAACCUCAUUGGAGUGUAAUGUUCCAUAUGAUUAGUGAAUGUAUCCCUAAUUGUAUAUAUAUGGACAUUAUUUCAUUUUACAUAGGGUCAUUGCGAAUAAUCAAACCCCGAACCAACGUCUAGCAUUCAAACCAGACACGUUUCCGAGUCCGGUGAGUUCAUACCCCUACCUUUUUCACUGUUUUUCACUGUUUUCAGGGGGGGAACACAAGUAAAGUACAAGGGUUUUCUUGUACUCAAAACUUAUUUUUCGUGUGUGUGUUUCACAUUUCUUAUGCUUUUAAUACUGAUAUACGUAACUGAUAACCAGUAGAUCAUACAGUUCACUUAAACAUUUAUUUGUGAAAUGGAUUUUAUAAAUGGUUAUGUAUAUAUAUAUUUCACAAAUGAUUUCCACAUUUUACCAGUUAAAAGCAUGACAUUAUAACACAUGAACAAUAUAAUUCGUACACUGUCUUGUCCUCGGUAACAUUCCACAGAGAUACGCGAAUGGAGGAUUAUUCUAUUAUUACUAGUAAAUUUGUUAUUCCGUAUGAUUGGAGACACGUCCUCGGCGAACACUCCACAGAGAUACGCGAGUGGAGGACUACACCCGUAACCAGAAUCUCUGGAAUUUAGAGAGCGUGACUUAAGUGUAUAGAUCUAUACGGGGUUGACUACCCCACACCUGGCUGCUAGCUACAGCCGAACUGAAAUGGUUCAAGGGUGACGAAAGUCAUGAGAAUUGUGGACUACUUAUUGCCACAGGUUCAGUCUUUAGUAUGGUUAUGGAACUCGCAAUUAGGAUAACAGAGGUUUACUUACAGUAAUAAUGAACUAUAUACGACAUUUUUGCAGAUAAUCAGGAUUCAGUUUACAUCUUUAACAUCUUUUACAACUUUUACAAACAAUAACCAACAUUCAGGAAGGUAUGGGACCUUCCUGGGGAAAACUUUGUACAUAACCANUACUUAUUGCCACAGGUUCAGUCUUUAGUAUGGUUAUGGAACUCGCAAUUAGGAUAACAGAGAUUUACUUACAGUAAUAAUGAACCAUAUACUACAUUUUGCAGACAAUCAGGAUUCAGUUUACAUCUUUUACAUCUUUUACAUUUUCUUUUACAAACAAUAACCAACAUUCAGGAAGGUAUGGAACCUUCCUGGGGAAAAACUUUGUACAUAACCAGGUUUGAUAGAAUACAUCUUUCACAUUGAAAACCAACUUACAGGAAAACAUGGGGUAUUCCUGGGUAACAUUCAUAUAACCAGAAAAGUGUAACCAAUUGUAUAUCAUUACAUCUUUUACAAUAACUAACUAUUCAGGAUAGUAUGGGACUUUCCUGGGAAUACACUGAUACAUUUUCAGAAACAGAAAGGAAUCAUAAACAUUUUCACAAAACAAAACUACUUAUGAACUCACCAGCUUUAUGCUGAUUUUCAAACCGCUUGUGUUCUCAGGUCAACGUUAGAACAGGUACCCAGAGAUUUCUUUUGAUCAGAAGAUGGAGUACAUGAAGAUCCGUUUCUUUUGUCUAUAUAUACUAUGUAUCACAACUGUACAAACUUUAUUUUUUUGAAAUAACUGUAAAACUUUAUAAUGUAAUGUAAUGGUUGUUCUACUUUACUUACUAUGUGCAUUGGAUUUGAUACUCAACGUGGAGUCAACCCCGGAAAUGUUUCCGCCUUCGGUUUUCGGGGUGUGACAAUACUUACUUCCUAGACUAAACUCUAAUUUCUGGACGAAAUUCCCUCUAACGGGGGGAUGAUGUGACAACCCAAAAUUUCCGUUUGUUUUAACGUCGUAAUUAAGCACGUCAAAAAUUUGCCAAAUUUAUCCCAAAAUAUUUUUGACCGGGCUUAAGUCCGUUGGAAUAUUUUAAAUAAUAUUCGUCAAGCGAACCAAAAAUAAAGAAGUAAAAUUUUGUGUUGCCGUGUUUAGCGUAAGUCGCGGAACUCCAAAAAUUUGGAAUUUACGGACAAAAACUUGGAGUUUUUGACCGCGAACCCCUGAGGGUAUAAAUAUGACACUUAGUAAUUUUCUCUCAUUUUUCCAACUUCCACCUCAAGAACACUCAAGAAAUCCUCUCAACUAUCAUAAGUUCAUCCCGUCAAAUCCGCCAAAAAUGAUCAUCCAAGCUCCUAGAACGUAAGUGCACUUACCCUAGCUUCUUGUGUGCUUAAUAGAAACUUGUUUACACUUGAAAUCAUCCAAGAACACGAAGAACAAGGUGUUUACGGCCCAAGAACAUUCUUGGACCAUAAACCCUUAAAUGCGUGCCAAAGUGUGCCUUGGUUCAUUCUAAGCCUUGACAACUAGCAUAGAUCCCUUCCUAGAUGAGUUUAACAUUCGAAAGUCAUCAUUUUCCCCAUGUUUAUAUGAGUUUACAGUUUGGGGAGUUCAUCCCAAAACUGUAAACACCUCCAAGAGGUGUUUAGAUGCCCCUAAUGCCUUCAAAUGGUUGUGUAAUGGAGUAGAACCUUGCUUGCAUGAACUAGGGACCCCAAGAACAUGUAAUGAAGGGACAAACAUGACUUUGCGGUUUAGAACACCUCCCAAAACCGUAAUAACCUUUCCAAGGUGUUUAAGUGCCCAUAACACCUUCCUAUGCUUGUAUAAAUGACUAGAACUUUGCAUGCAUAGCCUAGAACCACCAAAGCACAAGUGAAAUGGACAAACAUGAGUUUACGACCGUAAACUCAUGUGUUUACGGCCGUAAACUCCCAAGGGAGUGGUCCACGGACCGUAAACUGUAAAAGGUGUCCAUUUCAAGCCCUAAUCACUUCCUUAUCCCUUGAUUCGAGUCUAGCAUAAUUCCUUGAGUGAUAUAAGACGUUCAAAAAACCCAAUGGCACCACAACCAUGAGUUUACGGCCGUAAACUCAGGGGGGAAGUGGUAUUGAAGCCGUAAACACCCCUAGGUAUUACUAUUUGAGGAGUAAACUCCAAUGUGAGUCAAUACUCUCCUUAUAUGCAACCCUUAGUACUCCUAGCACUUGUAGUAAAGUGUUUUCAUGUAGUUGGACAUCCUUAAUUGCUUGAUUAGUUAUUAAAUGACUAAUCUGAUACUUAAAUGUACCAUUAAAUGUUAAAUAGGAUUCGCGUGUGUGGUCAAGUCCUCACUUGACACUUAGCAUCCUAUAUCGUCCAUUCUUCCGAAUCGCCCACGACAAGUGAGUUCAUACCCCUGAAUUAACCUUUUAAAUGAUUCACGUGUGUGGUCAAGUCCUCACUUGACACUUAGCAUCCUAUACCGUCCAUUCAUCUGAAUCGCCCACGACAAGUGAGUUCAUACCCCUGAAUUAACCUUUUAAAUGAUUUUAACUGCUUUUAUAGGGAGGGAAUACAAGUUGAACUGUAAAGUUAUUAUAUGAAUCACAUGUGAUUAAUAACUGUAUAGCAAAAUAAAUUUUGCAUGUUAAACUGUUUAUCCAGAUCAAAGGUUUCCAAAUCAUGUUUUCGAAUCUUGUUAAAGUAUGAAUAUCCUUUUUUUAGAUUAUUAAAGGUUAUCCAAAGUUUUUUUCAAAGUUUGUUUACUUAAGAGACAUCCAUUCAUAAUUUCUUAUCAAAAGUUUUCUUCACUUAAACCGUUUUAUACAAAUCAUUUUCAAAGCUGUUUAUGAAAGGUUUUUCAAAGGAUUUCAAAACUUGUUUUACAAAAUGACAUCAAGUCGUAAAUUUCUUAUGUAUGAAAGUUUUCCAAAGGUUUCAUCAAAGUUUUCCUUCUAUGCUUUUACUUCGUUAAAUGCAUGUCUACAUUUGUAUAGUUAUAUAAAUAAUGUUUAAAGGACUUAGGAAGGCUAGUUCGCCCUAUUUCCUUUUCCUCGUUGGGAUGUGGUCUGGUGGGUAUCGGUUAUCCGUCCGAAGUUCGUUUAAACAUUAGUUAUAUAUCAUGUAUACAUGUAUAGACAUAAAGGUUUACAUCGACCAGUUCAUUUCCCUUGGGUAGCAAGGACAUCCUUCCAUUCAUCAUUCAUAGACUAGAAACACUAGUAACUAUUAUAGGAAUAGUUAGGAGAUUAUAUUUACUCUUUCUAAUACGGAGAAUUCCAAAGGAGUCAGUUCAUUCGUGAGUCUAUAUCAUUAUUCCAGUACUUAUAAUAGAAUUCAAAAUAAGAGAUGCAUCUUCACGACACGGAUUCCACCGUUGUCAAGUUGGUAACCAGUGUCUCCUGGAGGGAGAGCGGGCAUUGUGUGUAUAGAUCUAUACGGGACUGACACUCCCACACCCUGACUGCUAGCUACAGUCCCCGGCCGACCGAGCCAAGGGGUGACAAAUGUCACAUUUAUUCUGACGCUUUCAGGGCGUCAAGUACUCUAUUGUCAAUCAGUAUGGUUACGAGUAUCUCUAUGUUUAGCUUAUAAUUCAUGUCCUUAAGGUAACACGGUAUUUUUGAAACAACCCACUUAGGAUUACCGGAUGUUUUAGACUUUGCUAGCUGUUUCGUUCAUUCGAUACUGUUUGGAGUAUGUAUUUCCUUGUUUUGGACUUUGCUAGAUGUGUCGUUCAUUCGAUACUGUCUGGAGUCUGUAUUUCCUUGUUUUAGAUUUUGCUAGCUGUGUCGUUCAUUCGAUACUGUCUGGAGUCUGUUAUUUCCUUGUUUUAGACUUUGCUAGCUGUGUUGUUCAUUCGAUAGUGUCUAGAGUCUGUAUUUCCUUGUUUUAGACUUUGCUGGCUGUGUCGUUCAUUCUAUACUGUCUAGAGUCUGUAUUUCCUUGUUUUAGACUUUGCUUCAUUUUGUUAGACUGAGCCAGGUGUAUCAUUCAUUCGAUACUCUCCUGGAUUCUAUGAUUUCUUUUGCCUUAGUCAGCAGUAUUACUGCUGAGAGAUAUGUUAUUUUCCCCCUAGUAUUUUUACUAGUGAUAUUCUCAUAUUUUACUUAAAGUCAACACCGUAUUUUGAUAAUGAUAGUAUUUUGGGGAAAAUUACUCCUUAAAACAUAAGUAUGUCGGGUCUUGGUAGAAGACUGCUUUUAUUUAAGGGACAUAUUGAAACUCCUACUGAAGGACUGAGACAUAAAGGACCGACUCACUCCUAAGUCAAAAACUACAAGAGCAAGCAAUGAGUUCACUAAGAAGGUACCUAAUAAAAUUAUAAACAUAAGCAUACCAUAAAAUAAUUUUAAUAGUAAAUGAAAACAUACUAGUAACAACAUCUGGCGCUGCCCUGGCCUCCUCUACUAUCAGCUAAAAUGCAUGACCUCGAACCCUCGGGGGCUCUGUCAGUCCCUGGUGUUCAUCCAUGAUCCUCAAAGUAGCUGAUGUUGGAGCGUGGACCGGUCUUGCUAUGAGCAAGGAGUAGUUGGCCUUCACAUGACCAACCUAAUCAUAGUGAUAGCAAAUCCUAGUGCUCGGUACUGGGGCCUGCUGACUACAAUCCCUAGAAAUAUGUCCCUCCCUACCACAUAUGUGCCACCCUAAAGAAAAUUGACAAACACCCUCAUGAACCUUGUCGCACUUGCCACAAGUGUGGCCCCUCUGGCCUCCUGAUCGUUAAUUAGCGGGCUAGAACCGCUUAGUUGAAGGUUAGGACUAAACCGGAGCUUGACGCUGCUCCCUCGUCUGGGUCUCUAUCACAAUCUCUCGCCUCCUCGCAGCAUCAAAAAGCUCGACGAGGGUAUUAUAUAACUGGGUAUACAUAAAAUCCCAAAUCUGGGUCUUGAUCAUGCUCAAGUAUCGUGACAUCUGAGCCUCCUCUGAUGAAGCAUAAACAGGACACAAGAGAGCCCUCUCAGUAAACAUCUUGGUGAUCUCUAUUACCGUCUUUGUCAUCUAUCUCAAAGAGGGAUACUCUUGACCUAACCUCUCUCUCUCUCUCUCUCUCUAUAUAUAUAUAUAUAUAUANNNNNNNNNNNNNNNNNNNUAUAUAUAUAUAUAUAUAUAUAUAUAUAUAUAUAUAUCCACCAAAGGAACAUACAUAGUGUGGAACAUCUCAAUAAACAACUCCCAAGUCACUAUAGCCUUCUCCGUAGGAGAAUAAGUGCUAGUCGCUAGCCUCCACCAAUCCUUCGCCCCCAAUGGAAGAAGGUUCAGAGCGCACUUGACCUUCUGGUCAUCCGGGCACGAACAUGUGAAUAAUCAACCCUCCACAUCAGACAACCAUCUCAUCGCCAUAAUCGGGUCCUUGACCCCGUCAAAAUCUAGGGGGCUUCGUGUUGUUGAAGUCCUGGUACUGGAAUGAUCUCCCCCCUUGAACCUCUGCAACAGCAAUAGCCGCAGUAGCUGCAGCAGCAACCGCCUUAGUCAUAGCGGCGUACUGAUCAUCAAACAAUUCGAUCAUAGCGGUAUUGAUAUACCCAAAAACCUAGGGGAUCGCACCCCGAAGAGCAGCAACUACGUCAGUAGCGAUCAACUGAUGGAUGUCAUCAUCUGUCAAUCCUGGCCUAUCCUAGCCACCAGAUCCUCUCGUGAACACCAUACUAAAAAUGAACAAAAAUAUAUCAUAAAUUCCCCAAUUCAUACUAUUACAAUCAUCACAGAAGGACUAAACCCUCAGGGUUUUGGACUUCCUUGCUAAGUGUAUAGGUCAUGUGCUUUCAGUAGUACGAGGCCAUACUACCUUAUACACCUACCCGUAUUUGUCUCUUUGGAUAAACACUAACUACCCGAAACAAACCUAUAACUAGGAUACACAUGCAUCCUAUACUCACACUCUCGAGAGCGGCUAAUAAUUCCUCAUCUGGCCGACUGCUCACAUACUAACUCAUGAAACUUCCACCAACCCUAUAUCCGCUCAUGUAUGCUAAUCAUACACAAUACUGGAUUCCAUAGACAUUCAAAUACUUGAUUCUACCCUAAUCCCACAACUAAACAAGGAACAAGAAAUAAAGCUAAAUCAAACAUUCUUAAGCUAUAGAAUCUUAGUUAUGUUCAACUAUGAUGCACACACUAAGCCAUUAUAGUAGUGAUGUCAAUUCCAUCUAACAUAUAAUAAAUUCUCAUAGGAUAUUAUGCAUCAUAUAUUAGGCAAUUCUAGCAUGGAAUUUUUGAAGAUCCCCAGCCUACUACUAGCAUUUAGUUCUAUCAUAAAUGUCAUGAUAAAUAACAGUGUGGGUAUCUUGGGGUAUAGUUUCCUGGUCCGGUUGAUUGUACGCAUCUCAUCCUUCUUGAUCAUCCUUGAAAACAAUUUUAUAAUUUAUUUUUAAAACUUUUAUAGAUCCAUAGUUUGAGUCUGCAUUAACAUGAAUGCUCAUCAAAUUCUCUCAAACUGGGGCUCUGAUACUAAUUUGUAACAUCCCACAAUCACAACAAAUUUUUUCAUUUUUAAUUAAAGAGAAAUCAUUGUUUUUAAUCAAACCCAAGUAAUAAAAUCAUAAUAUCAAGUAUAAUUGUUCCAAAAUUAAUGUAUCAUAAUAACUCCAAAAUAUGUCGCUGUAGGAUAUGUACGCUCACACCUUUGAUUUUCCCCGAUCAUGUUAAGUACCUGAAACAUAAUACUUAAAAUGCAAGCCAAAUCUUAGUGAGUUCCCCAAAAUACUACUACACAAACAUAUAAAAGCAUGGAUACCGGGCCCACAACCAUCGGGUUGGAUUACCGUUGAGCCCACAUCAUGAGUCUGACUUGCCUUUCUAGCCCACAACUCAUGUCUAGACUACUCCUAAGCCUACAACAUAAGUCUGGCUUACCUUUCUGGCCCACAACUUAUGUCUGACUUGCUCUCAAGUUUGUUGAAUUCCGCACAAAGCAAUAUUGCCUCAACCCAACCACACUACGUCGACAUAUGCAAUAGGUAAACAUAUAAACAACAAAUAGAUAAUCAUACACAUCUAACAUAUCACUAUAGCAUAACAACAUCCUAAAUCUGGAUACAUAAUCUACAGGGCCGACAUUCGUGCUUUGACCAACAAGUAUAGUUAGGAAACUCACCUCAUACUAUGAAAAGAUAGCAGGAAAGAAUGUUGCUCCGAAAGUCAACUCUACAGGUCACCUAUAUAAAAAAAGUAACCUAAACUCAAACUAUAGUUCAAAAUACCGAAAAUAACCUUAGGUCAUACUUGGUCAAAAUCCUGGUCAAAGGUCAAAAGUCAAAAAUUCAACGAGUUAACUAAGGUUGAGUACGCUUGGCGUACUCAGCCACUAUGCCCCGCGUAGUGCAUUCACUUGGCCAGAUUACAUGAUCUCGACCAGGUACGCACAACGUACCCUCAAGUAUGCCUAACAUACUAGACUACCACCUUUUCCUUUAUAUUCAAUGCUUAAUCUAUUAAGAAACAACGUCUGUAACAUCUUGAUUUCCAAGUAUUUUAUAAUUGACCCUUGGUUUCCGAAUGAUUUGCAAAACUAGUCCCUAACGGCAAUUUCAUAAUUAUUUGGUAAGGCUUGCUUACGCUGGGUGUACGUACCCAAGGUGCAAACCCUAACUUUUAGGGUUUGGAUCCUAUUUAAAUGUCUUUAUGGCAUCAUGCACUCUCUUAAGUCCAACAUCCUUCCUCAUUUCGAAACCUUAAAGUGUGUGAGUGCAUUUUGAAGCUUGGAGAGUCUUUUGGUACCAUUUUGGAGCUUUUGGAGGUGAAGGAAGAGCUUUGAAGUUGUAGAGUUUCCCUCAAGACCUUGGAUCCAACAUCUACACUCCCUUGUGCACCAUUUGGAUGUAUAAAGAUCCAACAUUGAUGAGUAUUUCAUUUAGAUUUAAGCAUAAAGUUGGCACCUUUUUGUCCCAAUGAUCCUUGUGAGUAUGGUGUACUCCAAGAUGUUUGAGUUGUCCUUUCAGAUGUUAUAAGGUGUGUGAAGUCAUAAAAAUAUGAUCGUGUACAUUAUUUUCUUACCAUGCACGAUACAGGUUGUCUUAAUGGGUUAAGAAGCUAGGGUUUUUCAUGUUAAGGUCUUAUUAGCUAUGCAAAACCACAAAGUUGAGAACUUUAUGGUUCAGAACACCUGUUAGGGUCUAGAUUUGGAUUUUCGACAAAAGUGAUUAAGGAUUAAGCACUUAAUGGGUUGAGAUGGUGACAUCCGUGUAAGCUGGGCAUACCAAAGGGUACACUGCGCAUACGUGGUCAACCCUUCAUGGUUUGGUCAAGCACUCAGUAUGCCUCGCGUACGUGUUGAGUACGCCUAUCGUACUUAUCGAGUUGACCCGGUUGAAUUUGACCUGGAUUUUGACUAAGGAUUGGCCUAGGGGAAUUAGUCACUGUAUUUGUAAAGGUUGCUGGUAGAGUUGAUUUCAGAGCAGCAUGCUAUUUUCGUUUUUUCAUCUGUCUGUGAGGUGAGUUUCUCACUAUAUCCAUGGGUCGAAGGAAACAAUGAUGGCCCAUCUUUCAGUUAUAUAGAAUGUUACCUGUUAUGUGAUGUAUCUUGUUUGAUUGAUCGGGUUGAAAUAUACCCCAGGGCAGGCCUACUAUGUUAUGCCGUGUUGAAACAUACCCCAAGGUGGGGCCCAUUAUAGCCUUUUUGGAUUGAAAUAUAUCCCAUGGAGGGGCCCAUAUUUAUUUAUUGGGUUGAAAUAUACCCUAAUGUGGGGCCCCUAUGCGUAGGUCUGGUAUGUGGUACUUUGGGGAACUCACUAAAGUUUGUGCUUACAAGUACUUCUGGUUCAAUAGGGAAGGGUCUGACGUGAUGACACAACAUCCUCCCCUCACAAGUUCUGCAUUUUGAAUAAUUGUACUAUGAUAUUUUAGAUAUCAUAUCUAGUGAUGGUUUUGAAACAAUUAAUUGAUGGUUUUUCAAUGAAAAAUUUUAUUAUUGUUUUUGGGCUAUUACAACGUCCUAAACUCAUAUCUAGUUCUAAUUAACAUUAUAAGUCAUAAAGUUUCCAACUAUAUGACUUUCCGUCACCUUCCUUAAAGAACGCCACAAAUGCACUCUAAAGCUCACAAAGGCUCACACAAGGAAUUAGGGUUUGUUAGGGAUGAAAAAGGAAUGGAAGCUGAUGAAUGAAGGGGUCUCAAUGGGAUAAUGAUGCUUAAAUAGGGUUCAAACCCUAAAAAUUAGGGUUUGGGUUUUAGCUAUGCACGCCGAGUAUACAUUGAGUACACCCAACGUACUUAACAAACCCACAUAUUUCACUUUAAAGAGCCAAAGGGACCAAUUCACAAAUAAAUUUCACAGUAAGGGUAUAAAUGGAAAAUACAUGGAUCUAGGUUUUACAGAUUAAGGUGUCUAAGCUCAUAACUAAAUUGGUAUAAACUUGGAAAUAGAAGUAAAGUCCUUUUUGGGAUUCCAUCAUAACUAUAAAUAGCUAUAGAUGAUAUUAGGUGGGAGAGAGAUAUGAUUUGUUGAUAUAUGUGAUUAAUAUAUAAGAUAAUUGAUCUGUUAAUUUGUUAUGUGAUUAACAAAUUAACUUGAGAUCAAUAGUUAAAUAAAAAAUUAUUAAUUGACAAAUUAAUGAAAACGCAAUAAGAAUUAAUUAAUUUUUAAUAAGAAUUAAUCUAAAAUUAAUUUGGGAUUAUUGGAAUUAUUUAAAGGUGUAACCAGUGAAUAGUAAUUUUUCAAUAGUUUAACAAAAGAAACAAUUCUAGAACCAUCCAGGGUAUGGACGGUUUUGGCUUGAUUCCCAAGGUUUCUGGAAGCCUCCUGGAUACAGAUAAGGAAAGAAUUGGAAUUGGAAUUAAAUCUGUUAUUUAAUUAAUUCGAAUUUACUUUGCCUUCAAGUUGCCUAAACUAUAAUUAGGAUCCCAAGACCAACAAAUUUCGUUCAUACCUUUACCUACAAGCUUUGAAUCGAAACUUCUAUCCCUCUUCUCUUCAUUCUAGGGUUUUGGGUACAAACCAUUAGGAGCACUAAGAUUUUGGUGCUUGCCUUCUAAAGACUAAUAAGGAAAGGAAUAAUAUUUAUUUGCUAUAAUAAAUCUAAAGUAUGUAACCCAAAUCCUUCUUAUAUUUUUGAAAUACCAGGGAUUCUUAGGGUUCUUGAUGUUCAUUGAUUAUUGCUAUCAAUUGGAGAAAACAUAGAAGCAAAGUUGGUUGCAUGUGAGCUUAAGGGCUAAGAUUUUAUGCUUUAGAUGUUUUAGUAACUUACAAAACCCAUCAUUAGUAUCGAAACAAUUGUUUUCUAUUGACUAGUGCUUGAGAUGAAUUGGUCAUGAUUAGAGUUUAUCAAAAUUAAACAUUUGUUAUUGCAAAUUUUGACUUUUGCUAGGGUUUCUUGAAACCCUAUCCUCCUUACCUUAUUUUCAAAAAUGUCUUAGGGUUUCUAGUUUCCUUAAUUAUUAUUUUAAACGCUUUAAAAUUUGAAUAAUUAAAACUUGGUAACCCUAAACCUAAAUUUCAAAAAUUAGAAGGAUAGGGAGUAAAUUUGUAAUAGUAUAAUUAAGGAUAAUUGUUUAAUUAAAAGAUAAAGAUAAAUAAUAAUUGAUUAAAAAAUUAAUUAAAUAUUUAAUUAAGAUAAUUAAUAUUUANUAUAUAUAUUAAACGUUUAAUACUAUAUACGUAAGAAAAGAUAGUUGAAUCAAUUGUAAGCCUCAUUCACGAAGCCAUGCUAUAAAGACUAUACAAUGACGGUUGAAUGGGGGUUCUUUUCACCAACCACUCUCCUAUGUGCUGGAGGGUCAUUAGCUGAAUGGAUUCGAUAGGACACUCAGAUUAAAAGUAUAAUCUAUAAAGUACUAUAACCUUCUUUUAAAACCCCAUUCUUUACUUAGGAAAAAUUUAAAGUUUUAUGCUAAUCCAUGAAAAAGCACAUCAUUUCUUUAUGAUUUGUUAGUGGAGCGUGUGUGGUUAACCGAUACACGAAUUUGGAACUAUAAAGAUGAAAUGAUGAAACAACUCAUGUUUAUAAGUUUUGACGGAGCAUGUGUGGUUAGCGGGCACAUCAAUGAGAGAUUGUAAAUUGAUCGAGGGUGUUUAAGUGGGUUUGCAUGCUUAUUCACAUCUUAAUUGUGAUCCUUGGCAUCCCAAUCACAAUUGGUAAGAGCGUAAUUCGAGAUUAAACAUGCUUGAUAAGAUUCAAUUAAUCUCAAAAGAUUGAGGAGUUUCAUAAGAUUAAACUUGGUAAAAGCCUUACCUACCUAAAACAUAUUUGGAAUUUGAUUACGACAUCCCUCUUCAAGCUUCUAAUUAUAAAUAUGGAUCCUAGCCUUAAUUUAAAGUUUGGGUUAUUAAUUAAGGAUUAAAAUCAAAUAACAUGAAUUCUUUCUUUUCCCGCUUAUAAAUGUUUUAUGAAGAUAGAAAUGGUGUUCCUCUUUCUUAUGUAAAUGGUUUUCCUCAAUCUUCUGGAGAUGGCCUUUCACAUGCAAGUAAAGGUAAAAUUGUCUUCCCUUCCUUAGGUAAUGGUAGAAAUGUACACCAUAUCUCUUCAAAUCUUCCACCUCCUCCUCCAGUGACUCUCCGAACAUCACAUUUUCCUUAAGUUGAAAGAUAUCAAAGUAUUCAAGCCCUAUUGGCAUGUAAACACAAAGAUGGAAAUUCUAUGUGUGAACAUGUUCUAAAAAUGAAUUCGUACAUUGAAAAACUAGAAGAAUAGGUAUUGAGUUUCCAAAGGAGCAAGCCAAUGAUUUGGUUCUUAUCUCGCUUCCUAAGUCAUAUGGUCAGUUUGUUGAAAAAUUUCAUAUGAGGAAUCUUGAUGUGACCCUAAUUGAUCUAACUGAGAUGUUCAUAGCUAUAGAAGAAAAAAUUAUUAAGAGUACAACUAAAGAAAAAUGCUUGAAGGAUCUAAUACCAAGAAUUCAUUGGACGUUAACAAUGGUAAUCAAGAAAAGAUUUCCCUUCCCAAUGAAAAGGGAUCGGCCAAGAUCAAAUAGUUUGAUCAUAUGUUAAAGAGAAAGGCACAUUCUGAGGUCAUUCAAUGCGUUAACCUCCAAUGAGUCCAUUUGUUUUAUUGCCAAUUGAAGGGAAAUUGGAAACGAAGUUGUCCAAUAUACUUGAGAGAUCGUAGAGAUAGUAAAGUCAAGUCAUGUGACUCUACUUCAGGUACAUCCGUUAUCUAACUCUAUUGUUUUAUAAGUUCAUAUUCAUAGAAUCUUAAUACAUGAUGUGAUGAUCACAUUUUGAUGAUAUUAUAGGAUAUAAGAGAAAGAAAGAAGCUUGAGCAGAGGAAGCUAAAUUUGAUCCUGAGAAAUGGACUUUUGUUGCAUGGUUCGAUGGUCUGAAUUUUAGCUACUACUAAGGAGUUAUGAUAGCUUUAAUAGUUUACUAUUAUUCUCCGGAGAUGUCUAAAACAUAGUUUUCUUUUAUGCAUUGUAAGGAUAAGUUCCAGUUUUCUUUUAUCAAUAAAAUGAAGUUUUGUUAUUUUAUAGUUCCCUUCACUGGCAUUAAUGGGUGUGUUUCUAAGAAUAGAAUUAUUAAUUGUGGAUGUGAUUCUUAAAAUAUUGUGCUUGGAGUCAUACAAUUUGAAUUGGAUGAUGCAUGGGAGUUUUGUUCAUUGGAGAAAUUAUGACAAAGUCAUUGUUCACAUGUUAUGUGAUGCAAGUGACGGAUUAAUGGGUCUUGUACAUGUUUUUAUGAUCUAUUUAGAUCCACCUCAAGGGAGAAAAUAGGUGACUUAGAAUCCGAUGUAAAUCUAGGCAAAUCAGCGAUAGCAAGAUGGCUGUUCUGAAGACGUGGCCACACACUGAGGCACCUCAGCUAUUGAAAUACGAAGGUAAGCGCGACCCUAAACUAAUACAUGAGUUCUUAUGGUACCUAGAAUGCUAUCUUAAUGAUAUGGGAGUUAAGGAUGACAAGUCCAAGAUUGACACAGUCAUCCUAUAUUUGUGUGAAAAUGAUGCUCUUGGGUGGAUGAGAAAUAUAACGACAUAGAUAAUGACCUAUACACCAUAGACACUUGGGAUGGGUUCAAGAAUCAACUCAAAAAACAAUUAUGUCCCUAUAACGUUAAGGAUAUUGCAAUAAAGAAACUUCAUGGGUUGAAGCACAUUGGGUCAAUUAAAGUUUAUGAUGCUGAUUUCAUGAAUUUGAUGCUUAAGUUUCCCGACUUACCAUAGAAUGAUAAGUCAUUCUACUUCCAGUAUGGACUAUAAUCUUCGGCUUAUAACGAGCUCAAGAGGAGGAAUGUCCAAGACACUGAUGAAGCUAUAGUCGUAACGGAAGAGCUUAUGUAUUUUCAAAGAGAUGCUUCGACUAGAAAGACUAGUGGGGGAGAUAAAACCACACCUAGGAUGCCACUAAGGGAAGAAAGGCUCACUGUCAAACCCUCUACCUUUAAGGGAGAGGCAAUUAAAGGAGGAACCCAAAGGCAGCUAAAGUGCUACAUAUGUAACAACCCCUAUCUUAUUAGGGAUUUUUCCUAAGAAGAAAAGCUUCAUUGCCAUGGUCUUUGAAGAUGAAAAGGAGGAAAAGGACGUAGCACAACUAAGCUCCAUACAUCUCCUCAAAUUGGUGGCAAAAGAAGAAACCCAUUAAAAGAAAGGAGGAGAACUAAUGUUUGUGAAAGUAAAAGCAAAUGACCAAGUCACUAUAACCUUGAUCGAUACAGGUGCGUCCCAUAAUUUCCUUUCAAAACGUUAAGAUGAAAAUAUGAAUAUCGAAGUAGGCUGGUUGAAAGUUGUCAACUCUCCUUUAGAGCCUAUUCUUGCAGCCGCUUAUGGAGUAGUCAUCGAGAUAGGAGGAUGGAAGGAUCCUAUCAAUCUAACUGUAGUACCAAUAGAUGAUUACUUCAUGGUGCUAUAAAUGGAGUUCUUUGACCAUGUAUCCUCUUUUUCAUUCGAAGAUAAGACUAUGCGUAUCACCAAGGGUUCAACGAUACACAUAGUACCCUUGGAAAGAAGAAAAACAGAGUCUCAAGUCCUAUCACCCAUGCUACUCAUGGAAAGCACUCUAAAAAGGUGAAAUGACAUUCUUGGCAACUCUUAAAGAGGAGAGACUCGCAUCCUAGACAGAAGUACCGAUAGAGAUAAAUAAAGUUCUUGAUAAUUUAAAGAUGUAAUGUCACUGGAGUUACCAAAGAACUAAAUAAGUUACCCCCUAUACAAGAAGUUGAUCAUGAAAUCGAAUUAGAAAAAGGAGCAAGACCACUAAUAAUAGGGCCUUAUCGAAUGGCACCUCCCACGUUAGAGGAAUUAAGGAGGCAAUUAAAAGAUUUGUUUGAUGCUGGAUUUAUAAGGCCCUCAAAGCCCCUUUUGGUUCGCCAUUAUUAUUUCAUAAAAAACAUGAUGGUAUAAGAAUGUGCAUAGACUAUCGAGUGUUGAACAAAGUGACGAUAAGAACAAAUAUCCCAUUCCACUAGUAGUUGGUCAUAGGGAUGAGCAUAACCGGGUACCCGCCUAUUUUAGCUGGAACCGGAACCGGCGGUUCUUAAGUUUUUUGUAUUGGAACCGAAACCGCCGGAACCAGUUCCUAGAAAAAUUGGAAUCGCUCCUGAAACUGUCGGAACCGGUUUCGGUUUCGGGUACCCGGUUUCUUGAGUAUUAAAACUUAUUAUUUUAUACAUGUCAUGUAAAUUAUGUAAAUUAACUUAUAAAACAAAAUAAGUACAAGAUAUAAAACCAAAACAUUUACAAAAAAAAAAAAUUGGUCUUUUAAAUAACAAGCUAUUAAAAACAUUUCCCACUUUUAUAUAACACAAUAGCAAGAAUCAAAACAACAACAAUAAAAACAGCGAACUACAAACUAUAAACAACAACAAUAAAAAAACAAACUACAAACUAUAAAAUAGAAACAGGAGACUGAAAUUGUAAUUCAUAAAAGCAAAAACCGCAAAAAAAAAAACAACAACAACAAAAGAUCCACAACACAAAUUAGCAACAACACAAAUCUGCAACAACAACAACAAUACAUAACAACAAAAACAACAACAUCGAAAAAUUGCAACAACAACAACAACAACAAUCAGCAGCAGCAAAAAUAGCAAGCAAUAACAACAAACAUUCCAUAAACUUUAAUCUGUUCAUUAGAGGUUAAAAAUAUAUAAUGGAUUGAAGAAUGAUUUCUAAACAUACAUACCAGUUUCCUCAUUUUGUUUUGUAUGCAAUGAAGUAGUAGGCAUAGGCAUGGAUGACUGUUCAUCAAUUUCAAUGUCGUCUGCAUAAUUAUAUAUUAAGAGUAAAUUUAUGCUAUAAAUAUUUUAAAUGGAUUAUAUAAUAGACAUAGAUAGAAAGUUACAAUACCUGAAAUCAUCACCACUAUUUAGUACAGAGAUAAACGCCACUUCAGAUCCAUUUAUCUACAUAAAUAAAAUGAAAAUUUGAUGGAGAAAACCUUCACUUAUGCGAGAGAGAAACCUGAUUUCUAAUUCUCCAGAUUGAUAGAGUAACACCAAUCAACAAGUUUUUUUCAUCUUUUUUAAAAGUUGAAGUCCAACAAAAAGGCUUUGCAAGUUUUACUUUGCAUAAAUUUUGUUCAUUCCCUUACAAAAAAAUAGAAGUUAUUAGAUCAUCAUCACCACGAAAAUAAUGAAAUAAAAAAGUUGAAAAAGGGCAAUAGUCACACCUGAAUCACAUAUUUUAAACGAUGUAAACAUAGAGCAUCUUUUAAACAAAGCAAAACAAGUGAAUCCAACUGCUUUGACUCCUCUUGGUCAACUGGACUAGAUGCUUUGACUCAAGAAGGUGGAAACAAGCACUACACUUAGGCUCACCAUUUUCAACUUGUUUGUGAACUAAAAACAAUUUAAACAUUAUGAAAAUAAAGAAACAUAGUAAAAAACAUAUACAUGAAAGUUUUUUCUUCAAAAAGUAAAACUGGCAUAGUGUAUUAUGAGGUGAUGUGUUGUAUUAACAUGGAGAUGAAAUGUGUAUAAGUUUACCGUUCGUUGUCCAGGCCUAACCUUGUAAACCUGAAUCAAUGGAAGUUGUUUCUCCUCCCUUUUAACACACCACAUUAGUGUUGUUUCAUCCUAGAUAAUAAGAUUUUAUAAGCUACUUAGUAGUACAAAAUAAGCAUAUUUAUAAGUGAAGUUAUUCGUACACAAUAGUUUUUAGCCAUACACAAUAAUUUAUUCAUCAUAUAGUUGUAUAGUACAACAUUUUAAAGCACCAAUUGUUGUGUAUGGAGAAAAAUUGUUGUGUAAGGAUUAGCUCCCUAUUUAUAAUGAUCUCUAAGUAUUAAAGUAAAAUACAAAGCUCAAAAUUGUUUAAGGUUGUUCUACAAAAACAUAUCUAUCUAAUCACCCAUUAAUAAUGCAACAUAGUUGUACUAGAAAAUCCAUGAUUAUGAUACAUCAGAUUGAUGGACUUACAUUAGAAAUUUGAAAGGGGGAAGAACCGUGGCUUCCCUAUGCACCCAUAUCUCAGUAAAUAUGACCAGUUCUUCAAAGAAGCGAUACCCUGGAAUUAUUGCAACACAAUUAGAGCUUGACUCCAUGGUAGGUUAGUAAAAGGCAUUGAAAGUUUAAAAACCUAAAGGCUUUAUGUGUGUUCCAUUAAAAGUAUUGUCAUGGAAAUCCAAACCAAAAUGCAUCAUUUCAACCUUACAUCUUCUACCAAAUAUUGAACAAGCCUAAAAUGGAAGAAGAUACAAAAUCCACACAUGUGUCUGUUUGUGUGUGUAAAAACCAAAACAACUACUCGGUCGUUACAUACUAUAGAACAAAAAAAAUUAUUGUACCUUCGACAUGCAAGUAAAAACCAAGUGAUAUGAUUAAUAAAUAGAAAUUAUGAUUAUUGUAUCUUUGAUAUGGAAGUAAAAUAUAUAAAAAAGGUAUUACAUAACAUAUGAAUCUUACUGAUUUACGAGGUUUAGUCGGCGAUUGAAGAUGAUGAUUGUAACACUUGGACCUAGGUAUUUCCCAUUUUAACCCUUGAAGAAAAAAUUAAAUUUCAAAAGGAGCCCCCACGUACGCUGGGCAUACGUUUAUGUACACUUAGCGUACAUGGGCAGGUAGAAGCAGGAACCUGAGCCACAUACGCGGGGCGUACGAGGCGUUCUCUCAGGUGUGUCAGAACUCAAACUGAGGAAACGAUAAUCUUUCCAAAAGAAAAAAAGAAUUGAAUUUUUCUAAAAAAAGGUUUUCUUAAGUAAAAAGGGAGAGUGCAAUGCGUGCGGUCGGCUGAGCUCAACUAAGUGUUUCCCAAAUUACGCAUGCUUAUGUAUUACGAUUAGUAUGCUUGAUAUGUGAAUGGCAUGCUAGAGUAGGGCUAAAACGGGAAAUUGAAUGAUUUGUGUGAUGCCUUAUAGCCUAGGAAAAUUAUAUGCCAUAUAUUUCUUGGAAUCGAUGUUGACUCUGUAUUUGCUAAGUGUAUGCUUUGAAAGUUAUAUACGAUUAGGAUUGCAUAACCCUAGAAUGAUGUAUUCUAUCUCAUUUCCCGUUCCUUAUUUGGUUGUGGAUUUAGGGUAGAAACUUUAUUUGACAGUCUAUGUGAUUCUAUUUGUGUAUAAGUUGCAUGCACAAGGCAACCAUUAGUGUUGAUUGAGGUUUCCGGUUCUGUGGGGGUUGAGAAAUUCUAUAGGAGUCUAGUAUGUGUGUGAUGUGUUGUAUGAGUUAUGUUUCUAAGUGUAGUAUGGCGGAUUGGAGGAAUCAGGUCUGACCUUGAGGAAGGUACAUGUAGGUGUGGAAGGUAGUAUUGGGCCCGUACUACUGGAAGCACGAGACUUGUACCCAAGACGAUUGCAAACUUAGAAAAUCCAAGAUUUCCACAUGACAUCUUGGUGAUUUUUGGUGUCGUAGAGGAGACGGUUAUGGAGAUCAUGGAGAAGUAGCUCAGGUCAUUUUGAGCCAAGAUUUCCACAGGACAUCUCGGACUCUGUCACGCCCCGCUAAAGCAGAAACGCAAGAUAUGACAGCGAUAACGGUUUCAUUGCAAAAGAUAAAUAUACAUCACCAUAGCAAUAUUUAAAACUUUACAACCCAUAGCUUAAACAAAACAAAGUACAAGUUUUCCCAAAAUAACAUUGUUCAAAAUAUAACUUAAUAAAAUAACUUCCACACGAUGCAGCAUGCUCUAUGAUGAUGAAUCUUUAUAUCCACUUACUAAUGAUUUCCUGAAAAAGCAUGUAAAACGAGCGUCAAGUAUGAAAAUAGUUGGUGAGUUCACAAGUUUAUAAAAUCAAGAUUUGGAAUAAGGCUUUUCAUAAAUACAAGUACAUUGCUUUAAUGAGAAACAAGUUGAUUGCUAUUAUUGAUAACAAGUUUAUUGCUAUAACGAGAAACGAGUUUGUAUGUGUAUGAGCAAACAAUGAGUCUCAACCAAACCUAUGACUGAAGCCCUAUCAAGAUCUAUGCUUAUCGUUCCAUAGAUGAAUAUGGUACCAUGCACUCCAGCAAUAGGGCGAGUGAGGAGUUGUCAAUUCCUAAUAGCACUAUCCAUAAUGACCAUUGGCUCAAAGAGUUAACGGUUAGAGAUAAGGGAAGGGCCUUAGUACGAUAAGUUCUCAUGUUCCGUGUUGCA